AAAAAAGCAGUGGCCUGUUGUAUUUAUCGAUAGGCCUCUCGUAAGCUUCAGGAAAAUCAUGUACAUUGUUAUUGGGUGAACCUUUGUUCUUUUCAAUGAUUGAAGGUUCAGUAAAUGAUGGUACAUUU